CCUACGGGAGGCAGCAGUGGGGAAUAUUGGUCAAUGGACGCAAGCCUGACCCAGCAACGCCGCGUGAAGGAAGACGGCUCUCGGGUUUUAAACUUCUUUUAUCAUGGCCGCAACAAGUGACUGUACCUGAUGAAUAAGCCACGGCUAACUACGUGCCAGCCGCCGCGGUAAUACGUAGGUGGCACGCGUUAUCCGGAGUUCCUGGGGGUAAAGGGCGUGUAGGCGGGAAAGCAAGUCAGAUGUGAAAACCAUGGGCUCAACCUGUGGCCUGCAGUUGAAACUGGUGUUCUUGAGUACUGGAGAGGAAGACGGAAGUCCUGGUGUAGCGGUGAAAUGCGUAGAUAUCAGGAGGAACACCAGUGGCGAAGGCGGUCGGCUGGACAGCAACUGACGCUGAGGCGCGAAAGCGUGGGGAGCAAACAGGAUUAGAUACCCUAGUAGUC
rnacentral:rRNA from 1 species